rnacentral:rRNA from 1 species
GUAGUCCACGCCCUAAACGAUGGAUACUAGGCGUAAGAGGUAUCGACCCCUCUUGUGCCGCAGCCAACGCAUUAAGUAUCCCGCCUGGGGAGUACGGCCGCAAGGUUGAAACUCAAAUGAAUUGACGGGGACCCGCACAAGCGGUGGAGCAUGUGGAUUAAUUCGAUACUAACCGAAGAACCUUACCCAGGUUUGACAUCGAUCGUAAGCUCUAGAGAUAGGGCCCUCCCCCACAAGGGGACGUGAAGACACUUGUUGCAUGGCUGUCGUCAGCUCGUGCCGUGAGGUGUACGGUUAAGUCCGCCAACGAGCGCAACCCUCGUCCUGUGUUACCAGCGAGUAAAGUCGGGAACUCACAGGAGACCGCCGGUGUAAGCCGGAGGAAGGUGAGGAUGACGUCAAGUCAGCAUGGCAGUUACGCCUGGGGCUUCACACAUGCUACAAUGGGCGAAACAAAGGGCAGCAAAACCGUGAGGUAGAGCCAAUCCCAAAAAUACGCCCCCAGUUCAGAUUGCAGUCUGCAACUCGACUGCAUGAAGGCGGAACCGCUAGUAAACGCAGGUCAGCUAUACUGCGUUGAAUA